rnacentral:rRNA from 1 species
UACGUAGGGUGCGAGCGUUAAUCGGAAUUACUGGGCGUAAAGCGUGCGCAGGCGGUUUGCUAAGACAGGCGUGAAAUCCACGGGCUUAACCUGGGAACUGCGUUUGUGACUGGCAGGCUAGAGUAUGGCAGAGGGGGGUGGAAUUCCACGUGUAGCAGUGAAAUGCGUAGAGAUGUGGAGGAACACCGAUGGCGAAGGCAGCCCCCUGGGCCAAUACUGACGCUCAUGCACGAAAGCGUGGGGAGCAAACAGG